rnacentral:rRNA from 1 species
UACGUAGGUGGCGAGCGUUAUCCGGAAUUACUGGGUGUAAAGGGUGUGUAGGCGGGGAGUCAAGUCAGAUGUGAAAAUUACGGGCUCAACCCGUAACCUGCGUCUGAAACUGAUUCUCUUGAGAGUGAGAGAGGUAAACGGAAUUCCUGGUGUAGCGGUGAAAUGCGUAGAUAUCAGGUGGAACACCGGUGGCGAAGGCGGUUACUGGACCACAACUGACGCUGAGACACGAAAGCGUGGGGAGCGAACA